rnacentral:rRNA from 1 species
CCUACGGGUGGCAGCAGUGAGGAAUAUUGGUCAAUGGCCGGAAGUCUGAACCAGCCAAGCCGCGUGAAGGACGAAGGUGCCAAGCAUUGUAAACUUCUUUUGUCAAGGGACAAAAUCAGGCUCGAGAGCCUGACCGAGGGUACUUUAAGAAAAAGCAUCGGCUAACUCCGUGCCAGCAGCCGCGGUAAUACGGAGGAUGCGAGCGUUAUCCGGAUUUAUUGGGUUUAAAGGGUGCGUAGGCGGACUGUUAAGUCAGCGGUAAAAGCCCGGGGCUCAACCCCGGAGAGCCGUUGAAACUGGCUGUCUUGAGAUGUCGAGAGGUAUGCGGAAUGCGCGGUGUAGCGGUGAAAUGCUUAGAUAUUGCGCAGAACUCCAAUUGCGAAGGCAGCAUACCGGCGGCGAUCUGACGCUGAGGCACGAAAGCGUGGGUAUCGAACAGGAUUAGAUACCCGUGUAGUC